rnacentral:rRNA from 1 species
AUUGUAUCCACGAUUGGGGAAUUUUCCGCAAUGGGCGAAAGCCUGACGGAGCAAUACCGCGUGAGGGAGGAAGGCUCUUGGGUUGUAAACCUCUUUUCUCAGGGAAGAACAAAAUGACGGUACCUGAGGAAUCAGCAUCGGCUAACUCCGUGCCAGCAGCCGCGGUAAUACGGAGGAUGCAAGCGUUAUCCGGAAUGAUUGGGCGUAAAGCGUCCGCAGGUGGCUUAUCAAGUCGAUUGUCAAAGGUCUUGGCUCAACUGGGAACAGGCAGUGGAAACUGAAAAGCUAGAGUGCGGUAGGGGUAGAGGGAAUUCCCGGUGUAGCGGUGAAAUGCGUAGAGAUGGGGAAGAACACCAGUGGCGAAAGCGCUCUACUAGGCCUGCACUGACACUCAUGGACGAAAGCUAGGGGAGCGAAAGGGAUUAGAUACCCCAGUAGUCAAUCGUGGAUACAAU